rnacentral:lncRNA from 1 species
ACAGUUCUGCACAGGGGAAGCAGAGCUUGUGGUAACUGUUGUGGAGAGGAAAAAAGAGAACACACAGAUUAACUAGGAAAUAAGGUUCUAAGUGGGAGGUGUGGGAACUGGAAUUGACCACUAAGAAAAGCAAUGGAAUCACCUUUCCUAGAAAAUGAUGAAAAUACAGCAAAUAUUAAUCUGUAGAAGGUAAUGAGUUUAUUAAGAUGAGUUCAUUAACGCUAUGGCAGGCCCCAAAGAAGUGGUAAAUAAAGCCCAGUGUUAUUCCCAUUGAACUCUGAGACCGUGGGUUGGUCCUUGAGCAGCCUUAGGGCUGGCAGUGGGGAGGAGGGGGCAUGGAGCUUCUGGAGAAGUCAAGGAAAGCCUGAGACUCCACAGCGCCGGACUGGGACUGGGAAGACCACCCAGCCCACCAACAACACAGAUAUCAAGGGCAAGGAGAGUAGCCACGUGUGAAGGCAGAGAGACCUGGGGAAGUGUGAGAGCUCCGGAGGGCGGCGGGGCCCUGUGGUUCAGAGGACCUGCCCCUUGGGGUGGGUGGUGGGGAGCAGGGACUGAACACUGUGCGCAGCAUCGAGGCAUCUCGGCCUUGCGGGCAGUGUUGAGAAGUUUGGGCUUACGGAUGUGAACCUAUGCAUUGAGAAGGAGAGCCACCUGUAAUACAGCACCCAAGGAAAUGUCCCCCUGGAUCGCUGUCUUCAGAACUAGUACACACGAACCCUGAGAUCGUGGACGCUUAAGCCAGUCUAUCUGGGCUCCAGUCCCAGCUCCGAGACUUACCAGCUGUGAACACUUGGGUCCUAAACCAUUAUAAGCUCUCAAUGCGUUCAUUUUCUCACCUGUAAACGGAAGGUACAAUAGUACCGAUUUUACAGGAUUGUUGGAGAUUAAAGGAACUAAUCUGUGGGAAGUGCUUAGAACCGAGCCUGGCAUGCAGAAAGCACACGAGGCGGUUGCUGUCACAUACUGGGGAGAUUUUGUGGGAUUUUGAUUCCUGGAAGAGGAAGCUGUUUUGUAGUAUUACUGAGGUUUCCUUUCCUUUUUGUGUGUGCUCUGGAUGAUGCCUGGGUGCCUGGGAAGAGCUUAGA